rnacentral:misc_RNA from 1 species
GUUUUUACAGUAAGGUCACAUAUGGAAGUAAUUCAAGAAGUUGAGAUGAGUAGUGAAGAAUUUGUGGAAGAUGAAUCAACAUCAGGGAAAAGAGAUACAACAAAGAUGAAUCCUAUGGGUUUUAGACCUGCUCCAGUAGAGAUUCUGGACAAUGUAAAAAUCAAUAUUGAACCUGCAACACCUAUGUCGACUUUGAAAAAUGUGAUCAAGUCUGCGAAAUCUGACCUAUCAUUCAGCAGACAAGAGCUUAGAAAAGCUGAAGAACAAAUAAGAAUGGCUUUUGUUGAGUUUUACCAAAAGCUUCGACUUUUAAAAAACUACAGUUUCUUAAAUGUGUUGGCAUUUUCUAAGAUCAUGAAGAAGUAUGAUAAGA